UACGUAGGGUGCAAGCGUUGUCCGGAAUUAUUGGGCGUAAAGAGCUCGUAGGCGGUUUGUCGCGUCUGCUGUGAAAACUCAGGGCUUAACCCUGAGCCUGCAGUGGGUACGGGCAGACUAGAGUGUGGUAGGGGAGAUCGGAAUUCCUGGUGUAGCGGUGGAAUGCGCAGGAUAUCAGGAGGAACACCGGUGGCGAAGGCGGAUC
rnacentral:rRNA from 1 species